GGUAAAAAAAGAAGAAGAAAAAAUCCACAAAGCCCUCAGCUUUUAUACAUCCACGAGACGGUGGGAAACAAUAGAUUUAGCCGUUGGUUUCUUUCCAUUGUCCAAUUUGAAUUUUGAAUAGAGAGAGACUUCCGGUGAAAUUCCUCGUUAAUCCUCACCUGUGUCGGUUUGGUCUUUGCCCUCGAUUUUGCUCAAUCAUUGUACCUCUGUUGCAAAAAAUUGCCUCUCGAUUAAUUGUUUUCAAUGCUAGUGGUGAUUUCUAAUCUAAGUCGAGGUCGUGAGAAUCAGAUGUGCUCGGGCACGAAAUCAUUUGUCUGCUCGAAUUAAAGAUUGAUGGUCCUCAACUAUCCUGCAGUGAGAAGCACCUCAAAGAUUUCUCACGGCAAGGCAGACCUACUACGAUCGUGGUUCUGCAAGGCCUCUGCGGGUCAUAUGUAAGUGAAGGAAUAUUCAGCCCAGGCCACCCGCACUCUUCAUUGAGAACGUAUUCUGUAUGGACUAUUUUGAAUGUUUCUUUGUGAUCCUACCAGGUACUCAUCGUCUCCAUCCUUAUCUCUUUCUUUUUCUAUCUUUGUUUUAAGACUACAUAUUUCCCUAACACCCACAAUCGGUCGACACCUUGAGCCCCAAAACAGCCAUCAUCUUCACUUCCUUCAGCCGAAAGUCCAUGGCUCUUGCUAUCUUGCUUUCCUCUUCUUUUUCCCAUCAUGUAGCAGCUGAAAUGGAUGAUAACAGUUGAAGCAAGGGAUGGCAGUGGAAAUUCAAGUAAUAAGCAAGAGCAGCAGCCUGCACAAUACACACAAACAACAACCAUGUUUAGCUUUUCUUUGAAUAUCUGCUACUGUCCAAAAUUUAUGUUUUGGGUGUGCAACCAAGUGGAGGGAAGGUAGAAACAUGCAUAAUUCGUGCAAUCUACUGCUUGAAGAGGUGAGAUGAUUUUCUGCCUUGUUUUGUUCCAAGCUGUACAGUUCCUACAAAAAAGUUCUGCUAUAGUUUUAACUAUACUUCUUCCUCUAUUUGAAUCACUUUUCAAUUAUGUUUAGGCCUCCAUUUUUAUGUGUUAAACUAGUAGAGAUCAGUAUGUAUUUUUUACCUUCUACUCAAGCUUAUAACUAGGUAAACAACUAAGGAUUUCAUUCAAACUGGUAAGUUUUCUCGUAGAAUUUUCUGGUUUAUCAAGUACUAUCUCUUGCUGUUUUUAUGCUAUGUCUACCCAUAAAUCAUGCUUAUUUCCAAUUUUUCUUCAACGCUAAUUCUUUGCUUGUGUAGUUGGGAUUAUAGUUGAAGGAGGGGGUUUUUGAAACAGGUAUACAACUUACUUAUUGGCUCUACAAGCUAGUGCAGAAAAUUCAGCAACUUAAGCUCUGAUUCCUCUUUAGUUCUAGCCCCUUAGUUUGCCUUUAUCUCAUCUCUUUAACUCAACCUUAAUAUGUGACAUUAGGAGUAUCAAAUGACGUUAAAAUCUCAGACCAAAACCAGCUCUAAGUAGCUGGAACUGAGUGGAACAGCAACACAGCUCCUCUCUUUUCUUUCUAUUGUUCAUCUCUCAU